rnacentral:snRNA from 1 species
AUACUUACCUGGCAGGGGAGAAACCAUGAUCAAGAAGGUGGUUCAUCCAGGGCGAGGCUCGGCCAUUGCACUCCGGCCGUGCUGACCCCUGCGAAAUCCCCAAAUGUAGGAAUCUCGACUGCAUAAUUUAUGGUAGUGGGGGACUGCGUUCGUGCUCUCCCUUG